AGAGUUUGAUCCUGGCUCAGAUUGAACGCUGGCGGCAGGCCUAACACAUGCAAGUCGAGCGAACCUAGCUUGCUAGGUGAGCGGCGAACGGGUGAGUAACGCGUAGGAAUCUGCCUGGUAGUGGGGGACAACGUUCCGAAAGGAACGCUAAUACCGCAUACGCCCUACGGGGGAAAGUGGGGGACCUUCGGGCCUCACGCUAUCAGAGGAGCCUGCGUCGGAUUAGCUAGUUGGUAGGGUAAAAGCCUACCAAGGCGACGAUCCGUAGCUGGUCUGAGAGGAUGAUCAGCCACAUUGGGACUGAGACACGGCCCAAACUCCUACGGGAGGCAGCAGUGGGGAAUUUUGGACAAUGGGCGAAAGCCUGAUCCAGCCAUGCCGCGUGAGUGAAGAAGGCCUUCGGGUUGUAAAGCUCUUUCGGACAGAAAGAAAUCGCACGGGCUAAUACUCUGUGUGGAUGACGGUACUGUAAGAAGAAGCACCGGCUAACUACGUGCCAGCAGCCGCGGUAAUACGUAGGGUGCGAGCGUUAAUCGGAAUUACUGGGCGUAAAGGGUGCGCAGGCGGUUAUAUAAGACAGAUGUGAAAUCCCCGGGCUCAACCUGGGAACUGCGUUUGUGACUGUAUGACUAGAGUACGGUAGAGAGGGGUGGAAUUCCUGGUGUAGCAGUGAAAUGCGUAGAUAUCAGGAGGAACAUCGAUGGCGAAGGCAGCCCCUUGGACCUGUACUGACGCUCAUGCACGAAAGCGUGGGGAGCAAACAGGAUUAGAUACCCUGGUAGUCCACGCCCUAAACGAUGCGAACUGGAUGUUGGGUGCAAUUUGGCACGCAGUAUCGAAGCUAACGCGUUAAGUUCGCCGCCUGGGGAGUACGGUCGCAAGACUGAAACUCAAAGGAAUUGACGGGGGCCCGCACAAGCGGUGGAGUAUGUGGUUUAAUUCGAUGCAACGCGAAGAACCUUACCUGGGCUCGAAAUGUACAGGAAUCCGGUAGAAAUAUCGGCGCCCAGCAAUGGGCCUGUAUAU
rnacentral:rRNA from 1 species